rnacentral:rRNA from 1 species
GCCGCGGUAAAACCAGCACCUCAAGUGGUCAGGAGGAUUAUUGGGCCUAAAGCAUCCGUAGCCGGCUCUGUAAGUUUUCGGUUAAAUCCAUGUGCUCAACGCAUGGGCCGCCGAAAAUACUGCAUAGCUAGGGAGUGGGAGAGGUAGACGGUACUCGGUAGGAAGGGGUAAAAUCCUUUGAUCUAUCGAUGACCACCUGUGGCGAAGGCGGUCUACCAGAACACGUUCGACGGUGAGGGAUGAAAGCUGGGGGAGCAAACCGGAUUAGAUACCCGGGUAGUCCCAGCUGUAAACGAUGCAGACUCGAUGAUGCAUUGGCAUAUAGCCAGUGCAGUGUCGCAGGGAAGCCGUUAAGUCUGCCGCCUGGGAAGUACGUACGCAAGUAUGAAACUUAAAGGAAUUGGCGGGGGAGCACGGUCAUA